AAGACUAUCCUUUCAGGCAUCAUUUCUAUAGUUCGUUACUAGAGAUGUUUCUCUGAAGGUGUAGAGCACCUGAAACCAUGAGGAGGAGGCACAGUGUUCUCUCCUCAGCAUGAAGCCAGCUUUUGGUAUUGCUUUUGCAGCUGCUAAUAGCUAUUGAUGAUUGUUCUUUUCUUCCUUUGAAAGAGUAAGAGGGAAAGAAUGAAAUCUGAGUGGU